rnacentral:rRNA from 1 species
GCCAGACUCCUACGGGAGGCAGCAGUGGGGAAUAUUGCACAAUGGGGGGAACCCUGAUGCAGCAAUGCCGCGUGAAGGAUGAAGGUUUUCGGAUUGUAAACUUCUUUUGUACGGGACGAAGAAAGUGACGGUACCGUAAGAAUAAGCCACGGCUAACUACGUGCCAGCAGCCGCGGUAAUACGUAGGUGGCAAGCGUUAUCCGGAUUUACUGGGUGUAAAGGGCGAGUAGGCGGGAUUGUAAGUCAGAUGUGAAAACUAUGGGCUCAACCGAUAGAGUGCAUUUGAAACUGCAGUUCUUGAGUGAUGGAGAGGCAGGCGGAAUUCCCGGUGUAGCGGUGAAAUGCGUAGAUAUUAGGAGGAACACCAGUGGCGAAGGCGUCUUACUGGACCGAAACUGACGUUGAGGCUCGAAAGCGUGGGGAGCAAACAGGAUUAGAUACCCUCGUAG